GGCUCCAUGGCUUAAUGGUUGCAGCUUCUGCCUCGAAAGCAGAAAGUUUAGGGAUCAACUCUCAAUCGGUUCC
rnacentral:tRNA from 1 species